rnacentral:lncRNA from 1 species
CGCCGAUUUUGUCUUUCACUUGCGCCGAUUUGUUAUCAUUUGUGCCGAUUGUGUAUAGGUAGAUUACAUGUGAAUAUUAAUUCCUAUUUAUCAUUCUAAACCUCUUCUCACAUGUUAUGAAUUGUCAAUUAAAGCAUGUUGUCCCCUGCUAACCACGGGAAGAUGAAAUCAGCAUUUCAAGAAAAAGAAUUCAAUAUGAAAAAAAAUAGCACGCUGUUAACAUAC